rnacentral:rRNA from 1 species
UACGAAGGGGGCUAGCGUUGCUCGGAAUCACUGGGCGUAAAGCGCACGUAGGCGGACUCUUAAGUCAGGGGUGAAAUCCCGGAGCUCAACUCCGGAACUGCCUUUGAAACUGCAGUGCUAGAAUUCUGGAGAGGCGAGUGGAAUUCCGAGUGUAGAGGUGAAAUUCGUAGAUAUUCGGAAGAACACCAGUGGCGAAGGCGACUCGCUGGACAGACAUUGACGCUGAGGUGCGAAAGCGUGGGGAGCAAACAGG